ACUGCGCUGUGGUAGGUCUGGAGGACUCUCUGAAGGGCCAUGUUCCUUUGGCGCUGUGUGUACUUAAAAAAGAUGUGCAGAAAACUGAGGAAGAAAUCACAAAGGAGGUGGUGAAGCUGGUGAGAGACACCAUUGGACCUGUAGCUGCCUUCAGGAAUGUGCUCUUCGUCCACGGGAUACCGAAGACGCGUUCCGGAAAAAUCCCCCGCUCUUCUCUGGCCGCCCUGGUCAACGGCAAACCCUACAAGAUUACGCCAACCAUUGAGGACCCAGAUGUGUUUAAAGACAUUGAGAGGCAAGUAGAAAAGGUCUGGAGACGACAUGCAGAUUGAACACAUCGGAGGCUUGAGAACCACGUUACUCCGUCUGCAUGGUGUAGCUAAAGCAAUCAGAAUAUUUUAGAGAAAUGAUUUCAGUAAGAACCCCAACUAAUAUGACUGAUGAGCCUUAAUAUACUUAACAGUGUGUGCUUUUAGGCAUUUGGCUCUUUUAAUAAUACUUGAACAUUCAUCCUGCUUAUCCCUCAGAGCUUCAUUAGUUGCUAUUUGGAACGUUUUAGUUGUAAAGCAGAUAAAUCUCAUGGACGCAACAACCUCUGAAAUGAGACUAAAUUUAAACACACUUUUUCAGGAUUGGUCUAGAUUUAAUUGGAUGUACUCACUUUGUUAUUGAACAUAUUUUUUAAACAGUUAACAUAAGGACCCAAUGAGCUUUAUUACAUGUCAGACAUGUUGAAUGUUACUGUACAAAAGUCAGUCUAAUAUUUCCUGGUAUGCAAAAAAAACAUUAGUUAUAUUAGUUGGGAUUCUUUAAGUAACUGUAGUCUAAUCUUACGUCAGUGACAUUUUGUAUGUAAAACCGUACUGCACUAAUCUUUGUAAAUUUAUACUUUUAAUGAAAACUAAUGCAAACAGCUCA